CAGUAUGUUUCAGCACAGAGGGAGCUUCAGAAAUACAGAGGUGAAACAUCAAGAAGAAUUCUGCAGUCCAGUACAAGAUCUUCACUUUCCUUUCUCCAGUCAAUGAAGAAGUAAUCUCAUCAGGUUGAAAAGUGCUGACUAAGGAUUUAAUAAAGUGCCUGCAGAUGUGUGUCAUCUCUAAGGUAUUCAACUCAUGUAAUGCAAAACAGUUCCACACUGAAUGUGCUUAUAAAAUUCCAUUUAACCAUU